AUUGAACGCUGGCGGCAGGCCUAACACAUGCAAGUCGAGCGGUAACACAGGGAGCUUGCUCCUGGGUGACGAGCGGCGGACGGGUGAGUAAUGUCUGGGAAACUGCCUGAUGGAGGGGGAUAACUACUGGAAACGGUAGCUAAUACCGCAUAACGUCGCAAGACCAAAGAGGGGGACCUUCGGGCCUCUUGCCAUCAGAUGUGCCCAGAUGGGAUUAGCUAGUAGGUGGGGUAACGGCUCACCUAGGCGACGAUCCCUAGCUGGUCUGAGAGGAUGACCAGCCACACUGGAACUGAGACACGGUCCAGACUCCUACGGGAGGCAGCAGUGGGGAAUAUUGCACAAUGGGCGCAAGCCUGAUGCAGCCAUGCCGCGUGUAUGAAGAAGGCCUUCGGGUUGUAAAGUACUUUCAGCGGGGAGGAAGGUGUUGUGGUUAAUAACCACAGCAAUUGACGUUACCCGCAGAAGAAGCACCGGCUAACUCCGUGCCAGCCGCCGCGGUAAAAC
rnacentral:rRNA from 1 species